rnacentral:rRNA from 1 species
AUUGAACGCUGGCGGCAGGCCUAACACAUGCAAGUCGAACGGUAACAGGAAGCAGCUUGCUGCUUUGCUGACGAGUGGCGGACGGGUGAGUAAUGUCUGGGAAACUGCCUGAUGGAGGGGGAUAACUACUGGAAACGGUAGCUAAUACCGCAUAACGUCGCAAGACCAAAGAGGGGGACCUUAGGGCCUCUUGCCAUCGGAUGUGCCCAGAUGGGAUUAGCUAGUAGGUGGGGUAACGGCUCACCUAGGCGACGAUACCUAGCUGGUCUGAGAGGAUGACCAGCCACACUGGAACUGAGACACGGUCCAGACUCCUACGGGAGGCAGCAGUGGGGAAUAUUGCACAAUGGGCGCAAGCCUGAUGCAGCCAUGCCGCGUGUAUGAAGAAGGCCUUCGGGUUGUAAAGUACUUUCAGCGGGGAGGAAGGGAGUAAAGUUAAUACCUUUGCUCAUUGACGUUACCCGCAGAAGAAGCACCGGCUAACUCCGUG